rnacentral:rRNA from 1 species
UUUUUUGAGAAUCCUUAAAUAUUGGGUUUUGUUUAGGGUUUUUUCAUAUUUUUAUUGCAAAAAAUAUACGAAAUAAGAAUAUAGAAACCUUAAUAAGGCCAGAAAAACUUUAAAACAGAACUUCGAUGAAAGUUGGUUUUUAAAAAAUGCUCAUAGAAGCUAAACUGUUUAAGUUUUGUGAGGAAUGUUUAUAUAAACUUCAAAGCAACCAAGUAUUUAAGGUUUUGAUGUAAUCAAAUGUACUCUAAAAGCGUUUAAUCAAAAACUGCAUAAAUUAGAGUAUAUAGGAAGAGUUAACCAAAGUUCAUAAAGUUUAUAACAAUAUGUUCAUUAUAAACUCUUCUUUACAAUUAAAUAUAAUUCAAAAGUCAGAAAUCAAUAGUAAAGAAUGUAGUAACAAAAAUGUCAAUAAACUACUUCUACCGGAUGGAUUUACUUUGGGAAUCACGACAGGACUAUUUUUGGUUCCAACUAUCAGCAACACCAAAAUCACGGCAAAAUAACACUCCAACAACGAUUUCAAAUUCACUACACACACACACCAGGAGUGAAACUGCGUCUUAAUUUGAAUCAACAAGGGAAAACUCACCAGAUUCGGACAUCGAUAGGAUUGCCAGAAUGACAGAUCUUUCAUGAAAUUGUGAUUGGUGGUGCAUGGCCGUUCUUGGUUGGUGGAGUGAUCUGUCAGGUUAAUUACGGUAACGAGCGAGACCACAGUCACUAAUUGAUUACAACCCCACUUAGUCGGGAUUGAUCUUGGAGAGACUACCAAGUUCAACUUAGGGGAAGUGUGGCAAUAACAGGUCUGUGAUUCCCUUUGAUGUUCUGGGCUGCACUCGUGCUACAAUUGCAGCAGCAAAUAGUUGUUUACUCGAAGGAGAAGACUAAUCAUUAAUUUCUGUUGUGAUUGGGAUUGAGCCUUGUAAUUAUUACUCAUGAAAGUGGAAUUCCUCGUAGGCGCGAGUCAUCAAAUUUAUUGAAUGCGUCUUUGCUCUCUGUACUCACCGCCUGUCGUUACUACCCAUUGAAUUAUUCUGCGAGAUCUCAGGAGAGCUAGUACUUGUACUGGCUUGAUCGAGCUCAAGUAGAAUUCUUUGAAGGAAGUAAAGUCGUAACAAGGUUUCAGUAGGUGAACCUGCGGAAG